rnacentral:snRNA from 1 species
AGCUUUGCGCAGUGGCAUUAUCGUAGCCAAUGAAGUUUAUCCGAGGCGCGAUUAUUGCUAAUUGAAACAAUUGCAAGAAGAUUCCAGUGGGCUGGGUGAGAUAAAGGGCUCUGCUGUACCCAACAAACGUGUAACAGUAAAAACUCCAUCAAUACAAUGUUUUAAUAGGCAGAAGAGCU